rnacentral:rRNA from 1 species
CCCUUAGAUGUCCGGGGCCGCACGCGCGCUACACUGAAGGAAUCAGCGUGGCUUUCUCCCUGACCCGAAAGGGUUGGGAAACCCGUUGAAUCUCCUUCGUGAUAGGGAUUGGGGCUUGAAAUUGUUCCCCAUGAACGAGGAAUUCCCAGUAAGCGCGAGUCAUAAGCUCGCGUUGAUUACGUCCCUGCCCUUUGUACACACCGCCCGUCGCUACUACCGAUUGAACGGUUUAGUGAGGGCCUCGGAUUGGUCUCGACCCGCUCUUUACCGGGCGGCGCCGUUGGUCGAGAAGACGCUCGAACUUGAUCGUUUAGAGGAAGUAAAAGGCGUAACA